rnacentral:lncRNA from 1 species
AAUAAAUGUUAAAUCUACCCCCACCCCAAUGUUCCAUCGAGUUUAUGCCUCUCAAAGUGUGGUCCCCAGAACAGCAGCCACAGCAGCAGCAUUAGGAAUUGCUAGAAAUGAAAAUUCUUGGUGAGUCAUGUGGAACACGCUGAAUCAGCCUGCGCCCUGGCAACAAUCCACUGGACAAUCCCACCCCGGCACCCCCCCCAUUCCUCUGUACAGCCACCUGGUUCCACACUACAAAGACGCAGAGGACACUGGACCACCAGACCACGGUACUGAGUCCUGCCGCUCCCAGCCCAGAGAUGUGAAAAUGGAAGUCCAAAGACUUCAUCCCUUGUCUGUGUCACACAGAGCAGUAGCAGGAAGGUCAGAAUCCAGCUUUGGCCAUGGGUCAAGAAGCUGCUGCUCAUCUACAAUACUGGAAGAUGAAACAAUGGAGAGAAGAGAGCUGACUGUGAAGAGAGACUGAUCUACCACUGGUUACAGUAUUACUGUUACUUCCUGAAUGUCCAUGUCCAUCUGAAAUUAAUAUGUCAAAAUCCUAGUCCCAAAGGUGAUGACACUAGAAGGUGUGACCUUUGGGAGGUAAUUAAAUCAGGAUGGAGCCCUCAUGAACAAGAUUACUGUCCUUAGGAAAGAGUCCCCAAAGAGAACUCUCUUUCUCACCUGUGAGAUCAGCUGUCUGCGGUCUGGAAGAGGGCCCUCACCAGAACCCAACCAUGCUGGUGCCGCCAUCUCAGACUGCUGGCCUUCAGACUUACAAGAGAAAAAGUCUCUGUUGUUAGCCACCCAGACCACUAUAGGAAAAAACAAGGACACUCACUUAUGUACAAUGUGGUCAUCAGGCUCUGACCCAUUCUUUUCCUUCCUCACAUGCCACUUAUAAGUCUGAGUCCUUAUUCUGAUCUCAGCCUUCACAUUUAGAAACCCCUGGGCUUCUGUGAAUGUGGCAAGAUGUCUUUUCCCACCUUCUGUCAUGUACUGAUAGCCAGGAAUGACCUUCACUGUGGUGACUUUGAAGAUAUUCCUGUACUAUUCCUGUACUUACACUGAAAACGCCAUCUAUGAGAGCAAUCAAGAAACAAUCAAUUAACUGGAAAACAGUGAAAACUUUAACUUUUCCUUCACUUUUAUAAAAUGGAAGGAAAUAUAAAGUAUUAUUUCUUAUCCAAAACAAUGUAAAACUUUAUGACACCACAUACCCCCAGAGGGCUUAAAGCUACAUAGCAGAAAACUGACUUUUUAUGAUGUUACUUAAAAAAACUUUCACAAUUGUAAUUUGUAAAUUGUGACUCACUUUAUUUAAAGCAAUCUUUAAGAUUUGAAAAUUUCAGCACAGAUACUUUGUGUAUCCACUACCUUGAACGUUGCUAAAAUGGUGUGCCUUUGGUGAGGAGGAAGAAGAAACCAGAAGGACCUAGGAAAGAAUUUGAAGAAGGUAAAUAGAUAAACCCAUGAGCCCUGAGGGCAUCUGAGGCCAGAGACUGAAGGGUCAAAUGGAAGCUGAGGCCAGAACAUAGUGAUGCACAGGAGGAAGAGAAGAUGAAAAUGUCAGAGGACAAGGUGGGCACCCACUAACUGGCUGGAGAGGGUAGGAUGCAGACUGAAAGACUAGAAAAGCAUCGAAGAAGGAAGGAGCAGGCAAAGUCUAUCUCCCAGAAAAGUGCUAAAUAGCUUUGCCAGCUUCAGCCAUAGGGACCAAAGCAUGGGAUGUUCCUUUAAAUCUUUUUCUCCAUGACACACAUAUCUUUCCGUGAUCUUGUCUGCUUGGUAAGAAUGGUUAUUGUCCUUUGAGGAGGAGCAGGUUACAAACAGAAAGGGUAAAACAGGUUAACACUGGCCCUCAUAUAGCUUUUGCUCAGUGCAUAGAAUUUAAAAAUAAUGAGCCAAUAAGGUUGUAUCAAUAUCAGUUCCCUAGUUGUGAUUUACUAUAGUUACACAUGAUAUUCCCAUUAGGGAAAACAGAAACAGGGGUGUAUGGGAUCUUUCUAUAUACUAUUUCUCACAGGUGGGUGCAAAUCAACAACUUACAUAAUGACAAAAGCUGUUUUGAAUGAGCUGAUUUUAAUAAGCCAGAAGAUAAAAGUCUUAUUUUCUAGCUUUCCUUGAAAAGUUGGAAAAUCAAGCAACAUUGGGCUCACCUAAUGUUAUUUCAUAAUAAUGAGAAGCAGAGAGGCAUCACAGUCCUUGAGAUAGGCAUUGUAAUCUUCAUUUUGUCCCAUUCUCUCUCAGUCUGCUUUACUAUUUAUGUUACAUUUGGUCGCAAAAGACACUAGAUUCUUCCACUCUCCUGUAAGAGUUAAAAACUUGGUCAUUGGAGAGUUAUCUUAGUUUACACCAUUUGUUGGGAGAUGAACACUGUAUCAUGAAUAAGAACCCAAGGACAUCUCAUUAUCCUGAUGCCCUUGGGGCUUUGCACAUAAUAGUUGUCACUAAUGUAUUCUUCUACAGAAGCAUAAACACACAGGAUAUGAUCCAAGAAAAAUCAAUGACAUACUAAAUGUCAUACUAUACCAAUUUCUGUCAUAACUUUGGAGCCCUAUGAACUGCCAUCAGUUCUCAAGUCAUAAAUUCUCUGAAGUUAUUUAUGAAACAUGCAUUAGGUAAGGUCUAAUUUACCAAAGUUUGAAAUAUAUGGACCCAGGGUUUAAUUUAUUCAUUCUCUCUUUCUCUGGCUCUCUCUCUUUCACUGUGUGUGUGUGUACGUGUCUGUGUGUGUGUGGUACUGGGGAUUUAACCUAGGGUUCCCUUUUCCUCCAGUGUCGCUACACUUAUUGACUUGUUUCUAAUGAAAACAAUAAGGCAGAAUCAUUGGUACAUGAGUCAAAGACUAUGUAGUCUGUAGUGUUGGUCUCUGUGUGUGUGUGUGUCUGUCUGUCUGUCUGUCUCUGUCUCUGGAAUAUAUAUAUUCCAUGAUUCAAAAGACAAGGUGCCAUUUUAAAUUGAGCCUUCCUUUUGGUUUUCUGAGGUUAAAACAUUUUCCACAUUGAAACCUGUUCCCUUUGAUUUCCACAUGGCAAAUUACUCAAGUGGAAUUAUUUAUCCCAAAGGCCAUGCAAUGUUCCCAUUGUCAUUGAAAAGCAAAGGGCAAAAAAACUAAAAAAAAAAACACCAAAAACACAGUGGUGCAAAAAUAGGGAGGAUAAAUUUGGGCCAUUCUUUGUUGCACUGAAAUAAAGCAUGUAAUUGAUUCAUGUAAUUAGGUUCACCUUUGUGUCUAUUAAAAGGUAUUUUGUAUAACCACUCGUCUAUGUAAUAUAUGAUCCAAUCUCCCUACUACCACCUUCUCAUCAUGUACAUUAGGUUGUAGUUUUCCCUGGUUAGGUCAUUUUAAUAGUAACCUGUCUGAUAAUUUUACUAUGGAAAAAUCAGAUUUUUUUCCUAUAGGGAGUUGAUAGGGGGUGGACUAUUACAGCACACAAACUUAAAAGGAAAGAGUCUAUUUUUAUAUAUUCUUUAACACAUGAGUUAACUUGUCAGGUGAGUUAAAUUACAUCUAAAAUUCAGGAGUAGAUGCAGAUCCUGGCUAAUGGUUCCUCCAGUGGCCCAUUGAGUCAUAAGGUUGGAGAUAGGAUGCUCUCAUCUCUCCUUGGCACUGAACUUUGACCUACAGUAUGUGUACUGUAAGCUUAGCUAUUUUACAAAUCAGUAAAUACACAAACCAAGCUGCAUUGGUGAAAUUAUGUCCGCAGACUGAUUUAGUGG